ensembl:lncRNA
AGGAAACUAUCUCUCCAUUUAAACAGGUAGAGAUUCUCCCAGGUUUAAAAAGGCGUUAAUAUUAGCCAUCUAACACAUUGUUGCUACUUUGAGCUUUCAAGAUCUUUGUUCACCAAAACUGUGGAAGGUGUGACCAUCUGAGAGCUAAAAUGCUGGAGAAUGGGGAGUGCCUUCCCAGAAUACUGGAGAUCCUGUUCCAUUAUACUCAUAUAAGCUAGGUUGCAGAAGCAUUUCUCACCACUGAUGCUGCUGGGCGAAAGAAAUGAACGUGAUUGAUUAUGACUUUGAUACACCUGAGGAACAGAGAAAAUUCAGUAAACAUCUCUGUGUUUCUGUCUGUCAACAGGAUAGAGGAAUGAAGGGAGUCCAUAUGUCAGCAUGCAUGACUUUUUCUGUUUGGAUGGAUGGGACGGACUUCUGAUCUGACACACCUGUUCCAGUAUCCUGAUCUCAAGGAGGUUCUUUACACAGUAGGGCCCAUAAUCAAGUCUUUUUUCUGCGUAAUCAAGAGAGCGGUUAAACAGCUGAGAGUCAUAAAAGAACAGGAAGAAUUUUAAGAUGCAGAGAAAUUAAAUUUGCUCCAGUUUUCAAAGGAUUAAUCCAGCCCUCAUCUCUCCUUUGACAUCUCUUGGCUACAUCCAAAUAGUCGUCUGCCUGUUCUUCCUCCACAAAAUAUGAAGGGAUGUUACUUGGGCUACCUCAUUCCCUGCCGGUUGCUAAUGGAAAAUAGUACUGCUGUGCAGGGAGACUUGUUUUAUAGGUGUUUUUCUUCUAUCUGGUUUUACAGUUCUCUACCGCCACUGUUCAGCAUUCCCUGGAUUGCUCUGCCGUUCUCUGGCCAUCCAUAUAUGUUUUGCAAACUGAGUGACACAAAGGCCUCUAAAAAAGGAAACACCUCUCACAAAACACUUUGCACUGUUCAUUGCUAUUUCUCUUAAGACAGGAGAACGGUUGCCUCCUAUCACCCUUAAGUUCCAUUUAAAAGCUGGUCAAUCCUACUGGAUACACCAGCCUUCCACUGCUCAGUCCUGGUGCCCGCAUAAGGACAGCUUUACAAAAUGAGUACUCCCUUUUCCCCUGCUAGGGCUUGACACACACUUGUAAGAUUAACAGCUAUGGAAUCUAGUGUUGUUUUAUUUUGUCAUCAGUUUUCAGUGAUAUCAUAGUCUUUUCAUUCCAGCACCUUUCACUUCCCAGUCCUUAAACUAAUAUACUGAUCCCUAUUACUAAAUAAACCAGACUAUAUCACCACUUUUUAAGCUGAGAUGUAGUUUUUCCUCUGUCCUUCUCCUUGUACAUACACUAGACUGUGCAUAAACAGCAAAGCACAAGAACUUUACAGCAAGCAGUUCCAAGUCUAACUAGGGCCUAGAGUACUGCCUACCUGAUAGUUGUGUAUAAUUUAAAGAACACUAACUGCAGAAUUUCCAAGUACUUGAUUUAAAGAAUCUUAUAUUUUUAUUAAAGUAGUUUUGCAGACUGACCAAAUAUGUUGUACUAUGGUUGAUUUUAUUGUGUAGCUACAUGGCUCCAUGCCCAUUGACUUCAAGCAAGUACAGCACUACUGCUGGAUCACAACAGUGCUAGACUGAAAGAACCAUAAUAUGAAAUUUGCAACUACAGUUUAAUCUACUUUAAAAAUAUGAAAUCUAGUAUGGUUAAUAUACCUAUCUUAAACUAAAAACUUUACCUGGAGAAAAUAAGUAGGUAUUUUUCAGUGCUCUGAUACUGAACUUAUUUUGAAUCAAUAACUCUGAUUAUUUUGCACAAAAAACAACCAACCAAAAAAAAAAAAC